AAUGAACGCUGGCGGCGCGCCUAAUACAUGCAAGUCGAGCGAGAAGACGUAGCAAUACGUUUGUAAAGCGGCGAACGGGUGAGGAAUACAUGGGUAACCUACCCUAGAGUGGGGAAUAACUAGCCGAAAGGUUAGCUAAUACCGCGUACGCUCCUUGGACUUCGGUUCAGGGAGGAAAGCGAUGCCGAGGGUAUCGCGCUCUUGGAUGGGCUCAUGUCCUAUCAGCUUGNGGUGAGGUACGGCUCACAAGGCUUCGACGGUAGCUGUCUGAGAGGACGAUCAGCCACACU
rnacentral:rRNA from 1 species